rfam:Lachnoclostridium sp. An169 An169_contig_3, whole genome shotgun sequence.
UUGAUUUUUUCUCUAUUGAUACAUAUAAUAUAAGCGUAAAAACGUUUUACAGUGUACGGCAUAAAAACACUGUUUAUGCAAACACGUUUCGCAAUGUACGGCAAAGAAACAUUGU